UGGGGAAUAUUCCGCAAUGGACGAAAGUCUGACGGAGCAACGCCGCGUGAGUGAUGAAGGUUUUCGGACUGUAAAGCUCUGUUGUUUAGGACGAAAGCGCCUGUUGCGAACAGUUACAGGUAUUGACGGUACUAAACGAGGAAGCCACGGCUAACUACGUGCCAGCAGCCGCGGUAAUACGUAGGUGGCAAGCGUUGUCCGGAAUUAUUGGGCGUAAAGAGCAUGUAGGCGGAGAUUUAAGUCUGUUGUGAAAAUGCGGGGCUCAACCCCGUAUUGCGAUGGAAACUGAAUUUCUUGAGUGCAGGAGAGGAAAGGGGAAUUCCCAGUGUAGCGGCGAAAUGCGUAGAUAUUGGGAGGAACACCAGUGGCGAAGGCGCCUUUCUGGACUGUGUCUGACGCUGAGAUGCGAAAGCCAGGGUAGCGAACG
rnacentral:rRNA from 1 species